rnacentral:rRNA from 1 species
UACGAAGGGGGCUAGCGUUGCUCGGAAUCACUGGGCAUAAAGGGUGCGUAGGCGGGUCUUUAAGUCAGGGGUGAAAUCCUGGAGCUCAACUCCAGAACUGCCUUUGAUACUGAAGAUCUUGAGUCCGGGAGAGGUGAGUGGAACUGCGAGUGUAGAGGUGAAAUUCGUAGAUAUUCGCAAGAACACCAGUGGCGAAGGCGGCUCACUGGCCCGGUACUGACGCUGAGGCACGAAAGCGUGGGGAGCAAACAGG